rnacentral:rRNA from 2 species
AGAGUUUGAUCCUGGCUCAGGACGAACGCUGGCGGCGCGCCUAACACAUGCAAGUCGAACGAGCGAGAGAGAGCUUGCUUUCUCGAGCGAGUGGCGAACGGGUGAGUAACGCGUGAGGAACCUGCCUCAAAGAGGGGGACAACAGUUGGAAACGACUGCUAAUACCGCAUAAGCCCACGGCUCGGCAUCGAGCAGAGGGAAAAGGAGCAAUCCGCUUUGAGAUGGCCUCGCGUCCGAUUAGCUAGUUGGUGAGGUAACGGCCCACCAAGGCGACGAUCGGUAGCCGGACUGAGAGGUUGAACGGCCACAUUGGGACUGAGACACGGCCCAGACUCCUACGGGAGGCAGCAGUGGGGAAUAUUGCACAAUGGGGGAAACCCUGAUGCAGCGACGCCGCGUGGAGGAAGAAGGUCUUCGGAUUGUAAACUCCUGUUGUUGAGGAAGAUAAUGACGGUACUCAACAAGGAAGUGACGGCUAACUACGUGCCAGCAGCCGCGGUAAAACGUAGGUCACAAGCGUUGUCCGGAAUUACUGGGUGUAAAGGGAGCGCAGGCGGGAAGACAAGUUGGAAGUGAAAUCCAUGGGCUCAACCCAUGAACUGCUUUCAAAACUGUUUUUCUUGAGUAGUGCAGAGGUAGGCGGAAUUCCCGGUGUAGCGGUGGAAUGCGUAGAUAUCGGGAGGAACACCAGUGGCGAAGGCGGCCUACUGGGCACCAACUGACGCUGAGGCUCGAAAGUGUGGGUAGCAAACAGGAUUAGAUACCCUGGUAGUCCACACCGUAAACGAUGAUUACUAGGUGU